rnacentral:rRNA from 1 species
UACGUAGGGGGCAAGCGUUGUCCGGAUUUAUUGGGCGUAAAGAGCGUGUAGGCGGUUUGGUAGGUCCGUUGUGAAAACUCGAGGCUCAACCUCGAGACGCCGGCGGAAACCAUCAGGCUAGAGUCCGGAAGAGGAGAGUGGAAUUCCUGGUGUAGCGGUGAAAUGCGUAGAUAUCAGGAGGAACACCGGUGGUGUAGACGGCUUUCUGGACCGUAACUGACGCUGAGACACGAAAGCGUGGGUAGCAAACAGG